ACGGGACUCUUCGGAGUUCAGUGGCGGACGGGUGAGUAACGCGUGAGAAUCUGCCUAGAGGAUGGGGACAACCACGGGAAACUGUGGCUAAUACCCAAUGAGCGGAGACGUUAAAGAUUUAUCGCCUCUAGAGGAGCUCGCGUCUGAUUAGCUAGUUGGUGGGGUAAAAGCCUACCAAGGCGACGAUCAGUAGCUGGUCUGAGAGGACAACCAGCCACACUGGGACUGAGACACGGCCCAGACUCCUACGGGAGGCAGCAGUGGGGAAUUUUCCGCAAUGGGCGAAAGCCUGACGGAGCAAUACCGCGUGAGGGAGGAAGGCUCUUGGGUCGUAAACCUCUUUUCUCAGGGAAGAAGAAAGUGACGGUACCUGAGGAAUCAGCCUCGGCUAACUCCGUGCCAGCAGCCGCGGUAAUACGGAGGAGGCAAGCGUUAUCCGGAAUUAUUGGGCGUAAAGCGUCCGUAGGUGGCUCUUCAAGUCUGCUGUCAAAGAGUGGGGCUUAACUCCAGAAAGGCAGUGGAAACUGAAAGGCUAGAGAUCCGUAGGGGUAGAGGGAAUUCCCGGUGUAGCGGUGAAAUGCGUAGAGAUCGGGAAGAACAUCGGUGGCGAAAGCGCUCUACUGGACGGUAUCUGACACUGAGGGACGAAAGCUAGGGGAGCGAAUGGGAUUAGAUACCCCAGUAGUCCUAGC
rnacentral:rRNA from 1 species